UACAGGGGGGGGCGAGCGUUGUUCGGAAUUACUGGGCGUAAAGGGCGUGUAGGCGGGAAGGAAAGUCAGAUGUGAAAUCCCUGGGCUCAACCCAGGAACUGCAUUUGAAACUCCCUUUCUUGAGUGUCGGAGAGGAAAGUGGAAUUCCUGGUGUAGAGGUGAAAAUUCGUAGAUAUCAGGAGGAACACCGGUGGCGAAGGCGGCUUUCUGGACGACAACUGACGCUGAGACGCGAAAAGCGUGGGGGAGCAAACAGG
rnacentral:rRNA from 1 species